rnacentral:rRNA from 1 species
UACCCUGGUACCCCACCCCGUAAACGAUGAGUGCUAGCUGCUGGGUGGUUCACCAUUCAGUGGCGCAGCUAAAGCAUUAAGCAAUCCCCCCGCGGAGUACGGUCGCAAGAUUAAAACUCAAAGGAAUUGACGGGGGCCCGCACCAGCGGUGGAGCAUGUGGUUUAAUUCGAUGCAACGCGCAGAACCAUACCAGCCCUUGACAUGUAUAGGACGAUAUCACACAUGGUAUUUUCUUUUCAGAGACCUUUACAAAAGUGCUGCGUGGCUGUCGUCAUCUCGUGUCGUGAGAUGUUGGGUUAAGUCCCUCAACGAGCGCAACCCCUGCCUCUAGUUGCCAUCAAGUUUAGGUUUUUACCUAAAUGUUGGGUACUUUAUAUGGACUGCCGGUGAUAAGCCGGAGGAAGGUGGGGAUGACGUCACGUCCUCAUGGCCCUUAUGGGCUGGGCUA